UACGUAGGGUGCGAGCGUUAAUCGGAAUUACUGGGCGUAAAGCGUGCGCAGGCGGUUUUAUAAGCCAGAUGUGAAAUCCCCGGGCUCAACCUGGGAACUGCAUUUGUGACUGCAUCGCUGGAGUGCGGCAGAGGGGGAUGGAAUUCCGCGUGUAGCAGUGAAAUGCGUAGAUAUGCGGAGGAACACCGAUGGCGAAGGCAAUCCCCUGGGCCUGCACUGACGCUCAUGCACGAAAGCGUGGGGAGCAAACAGG
rnacentral:rRNA from 1 species